rnacentral:rRNA from 1 species
AUUGAACGCUGGCGGCAUGCCUUACACAUGCAAGUCGAACGGCAGCACGGGAGCAAUCCUGGUGGCGAGUGGCGAACGGGUGAGUAAAGUAUCGGAACGUGCCCAGUCGUGGGGGAUAACGUAGCGAAAGUUACGCUAAUACCGCAUACGAUCUAUGGAUGAAAGCGGGGGAUCGCAGGACCUCGCGCGAUUGGAGCGGCCGAUAUCAGAUUAGGUAGUUGGUGGGGUAAAGGCCCACCAAGCCGACGAUCUGUAGCUGGUCUGAGAGGACGACCAGCCACACUGGGACUGAGACACGGCCCAGACUCCUACGGGAGGCAGCAGUGGGGAAUUUUGGACAAUGGGCGAAAGCCUGAUCCAGCCAUGCCGCGUGCAGGAUGAAGGCCUUCGGGUUGUAAACUGCUUUUGUACGGAUCGAAAAGGACUGCCCUAAUACGGUGGUCCCAUGACGGUACCGUAAGAAUAAGCACCGGCUAACUACGUGCCAGCCGCCGCUGUAAUAC